UUAUUCCCUCCCAAGAUAUCUUUUCCCCCCAAAGGAAAAUAAUUCUCACCCCCUUAACGUCCCCAAUUCGUCGAUCUCAACUUCCGUGCUCUCUCUCUUAACCCUAAAUCGGCCCAUCUCUCCAAUAUCAAUUUAUCGGUCUCCUCCUUCUACACAACCGCUAUGGAUUAGGGCGAGCAAGAGGAAACGUAACGGUGAUAAUUAUCGAGUGGUUUUCUAUGAUGAUUGUCGAAUCGUCUACCACGGUUAUUCUUUAAGGGCAUCUGCGAGACUACAAGUGACCAACUGAAAAUUGGGGCCGAAAGAACCAGCUGCUAGAUUGUUUGCCUUCUAAGACCAUCCAUAGUCGUGAGUUAUUGGGCGUUUUUGAGCCAAAGCACGCCGCCCACGCCUGAUCUUCCACCCCAUGGGCGUUGUUAUGGAGAAAUUGGGCAGAAGUGUUCUUAAUUCAAUGCCAUGAGCAAAAGGGUUUGGCCAAUCACAGAUUACAAUACAAACGACAGAUCUUAACUGACCACUAGGUCCGGAACUUCAAGUGCACUUUUCAGAAGCCAUCGGCCCAGCAUUAAGUAAACCAUGUUAGUAGAAGACUACCAAUUUAUGCAUUUUUUUCAGAGUUAGAGGUGGAAAUUUCGACUCAUUUACUUAUGAAUUGGUCAAUUCAGCGUAUGUUUUUAUCUCUGACGGGACAAAUUAAAAAAAGUUAGCUAAGGAAAUGGGUUGAAAAGGUCAAACAGAUCCGGUUAAAGAAUUUAAUUGUUAUAUAAAGUAAUAAGACAUUUGUAAUUAUACUUGACAAGUGUUUAUAUAUAUAUAUUUUUUGGACAAAGUGUUUUGCGGCAAACCAAUGACCAACUUGUACCCACAUAGCAUGUUUUGACCCGUUACCAGUCCCACCCAUUUUGUCACCUUGUUAUUCGGUAAUGUGUUUUGGUCUUGCUUUGCACAACGAUGCAAUCACAUGAACAUGACUUCGAGCUCUUCUUUGCCUCUUCUUGCGAUUAUAUGUUUGUCUUAACAUAGAAGAUGUGAAUCCAAAUGUUCAAGAGGUUAAAUCGUAGUUAUAUUUUUUCAGUCUACAAUAUUAUUAAAUACAUUAGUUCGGUUGUCUAAAAAAAACUCAUUUAGCUCAUAUUUUUUUUGGCAUUAAAGAUGCUUGCUUGUGAUUUCUUAUGAAGGGGAUUUAUCUAUUAUUUUUAUUUUUGUAGUUAAUUGUAUAUUUAUAUACAGGCAGGCUAAUGCUUUCAGUCAGAUACUAAAUUUGCACGAUAAGUUAGUGGUACUUACCAGAAGACUUUGUAUUUUACUUACAUGGUUCCAGCUAGAAUUUCUGAUUCAGUCAUGAUUUUUCUCGGGCAAAGGUCUUUCUGUUGAAGGGGACAGCUCAAGCGCUGAAUCAAUGGGAUAAUGAAGGGAAAAAAGUUACCAAGUGAAAGCGUUGUAGACUUGUGACAGAAAUGAAUUACUUUGUUCUGGAAUAUUUGACUUACAAGUGACGUUCAAAAAUGUUGAUCAAUAAAUAACCAUCUUUUAUCAAAGAAAACAACUGAGCUUGAAGUUAUGCAAAAGGACAUUGAGAGUCAACGAUAAAGCUUGGAAGCUAUGAUGCGGAUGAAACAACUACUAAUUGGAGAUCUAGAUGAGUAGAAUGUUUCAUUUCUCUUUAUCAUUGUAACUGACACAAAGUGUUGACUAUAUUGUUAAAGUACACCAUUUGAGUAUUAAUGAUAUUUGUGUUAUUAUUGUUUCG
rnacentral:lncRNA from 1 species